GCCUGGGUGGCUCAGCGGUUGAGCAUCUGACUUUGGCUCAGGGUGUGAUCCUGCAGUCUUGGGAUCUAGUCCUGCUUUGGGCU
rnacentral:tRNA from 1 species